GAUUUGACGAUGAAGAGGACUAGUAUAUGAUGAAAGUGGCACAGAGAGGCUUCUGGCUGGUGGGAGGAAGCUGCAUGGAAAUUAUAGAACCGACCUUGGAGUUCCGCAUGAAAAGUGUGGCGUAUGCCUGGCGUUAACGGGUAAUGAAGUGAAUCGUAAUACGAUUAAUUAGGGUGGUACCGCCGAAUUUUCGGUCCCUUGU
rnacentral:ncRNA from 1 species